GAUUAUGGCUCAGGAUGAACGCUGGCGGCGUGCUUAACACAUGCAAGUCGAACGAAGCUAAGGGAGCUUGCUCCCAAAGCUUAGUGGCGGACGGGUGAGUAACGCGUGGGUAACCUGCCCUAUAGAGGGGGAUAACGUUCGGAAACGAACGCUAAUACCGCAUAGACCAUAAAGAGCUGCAUGGCUCUGAUGGCAAAGAUUUAUCGCUAUAGGAUGGACCUGCGUUGGAUUAGCUAGUUGGUGAGAUAACAGCUCACCAAGGCGACGAUCCAUAGCCGGCCUGAGAGGGUGAACGGCCACAUUGGGACUGAGACACGGCCCAAACUCCUACGGGAGGCAGCAGUGGGGAAUAUUGCACAAUGGGCGCAAGCCUGAUGCCAGCGACGCCGCGUGAAGGAAGAAGGUCUUCGGAUUGUAAACUUCUAUCAGCAGGGAAGAAUAAAUGACGGUACCUGACUAAGAAGCCCCGGCUAACUACGUGCCAGCAGCCGC
rnacentral:rRNA from 1 species